GCUAAAUGAAGCCUAAUGAACAUGGAGAGAGAACCGGCUCUCAGAAACCUCUGAAGGCACAUUCCGCCCGGGCUGGAGCUGACCUGGAGACGCAGCCCUUCCUCCCCAUUUGGAGCUGCCUGUCAUCAUGCGAAGAUGAACAAAGAUUUGUUACAGAAACCAGAAUCGCCAGCCUUUGGGGGCCCCCAGCCCUUUGUGCACACCUGCAGGCCGUGCAGACCUCCAGCCUGCUCACCUGCGCCCCUUUCUUGGUGGGACCCUGACUGUCAGGACUGUCUGUGCCAUGAGGAUGUGAAGUUGGGGAGGAGCUCGCUCUUGGACAUCACAUGGGCGCACGUGGCUCAGGCUGGGCCCAGACUGAUGGUAACAAUGCAAGGCCUGCUUGC